AUAUAGUCGCGUUAGGGAUAAUAAUGAAUAGCCCGCAGCCCGACGUAGGAGGUGCGAGGACUUGGAAUGGAUAGCCCGACCCUUG
rnacentral:misc_RNA from 1 species